CCUACGGGUGGCAGCAGUGGGGAAUAUUGCGCAAUGGGCGCAAGCCUGACGCAGCAACGCCGCGUGAGGGAAGAAGGCCCUCGGGUUGUAAACUUCUUUUAUCAGGGACGAAAAAAAUGACGGUACCUGAUGAAUAAGCCACUGCCAACUACGUGGCAGCCGCCGCGGUAAUACGUAGGUGGCAAGCGUUAUCCGGAUUUACGGGGUGUAAAGGGCGUGUAGGCGGGUCUGCACGUCAGAUGUGAAAUCUCUGGGCUCAACCAUGGAACUGCAUUUGAAACUGUAGAUCUUGAGUGAAGGAGAGGCAGGCGGAAUUCCGGGUGUAGCGGUGAAAUGCGUAGAUAGACGGAGGAACACCAGUGGCGAAGGCGGCCUGCUGGACAUUAACUGACGCUGAGGCGCGAAAGCGUGGGGAGCAAACAGGAUUAGAUACCCCUGUAGUC
rnacentral:rRNA from 1 species